GGCCUCGUAGCUCAACUGAAUAGAGUAGCUGACUACGGAUCAGCAGGUUUAGGGUUUGAAUCCCUACGAGGUCA
rnacentral:tRNA from 1 species